rnacentral:misc_RNA from 1 species
AACGCACCUUGCGCUCCUUGGUAUUCCGAGGAGCAUGCCUGUUUGAGUGUCAUUAAAUUCUCAACUCCUUCAGCUCUUGCAGCUGGCUAGGGGCUUGGAUUGUGGAGGGUUUGCUGGCAGGUGUCAGCUCCUCUGAAAUGCAUUAGCAGAACCAUUUGCGAUCUGUCACAGGUGUGAUAAUUAUCUACACCAGUGGAUUGCUCUCUGUCUGUUCAGCUGCCAACUGUCUCUGUUGAAGAGACAAUUUUUUGAAUCCUUGACCUCAAAUCAGGUAGGACUACCCGCUGAACUUAA